AAAAGACUUAGUCCUAACCUUACCAUUAAUUCUCGCCCAACACAUACAUGCAAGCAUCCACGCCCCAGUGCAAACGCCCUUAGUCCCUUACCAAGGCCAAAAGGAGCCGGUAUCAGGCACACACAUCGUAGCCCAAGACACCUCGUCCAGCCACACCCCCACGGGUAUUCAGCAGUAGUUAACAUUAAGCAAUAGGCGAAAGCCUGACUUAGUCAAAGCGACACAGGGUCGGUAAAUCUUGUGCCAGCCACCGCGGUCAUACAAGAGACCCAAAUUAAUCGUUACACGGCGUAAAGAGUGAUUCAAGAUUAUCAUACACCAACUAAGAUCAAACCACCCAUCCCAGCCGUCACAAGCCCAAGAUGCCCAGAAGACCAGCCUAAAAACGAUCUCAGCACCUAUGACCUAUUCGACUUCACGAAAGCCAGGGCACAAACUGGGAUUAGAUACCCCACUAUGCCUAGCCCUAAAUCCUGAUGUUUCAAACACACAAACAUCCGCCCGAGAACUACGAGCACAAACGCUUAAAACUCUAAGGACUUGGCGGUGCCCUAAACCCACCUAGAGGAGCCUGUUCUAUAAUCGAUAACCCACGCUACACCCCACCACUUCUAGCCCCAAACAGCCUACAUACCGCCGUCGCCAGCCCACCUCAAUGAGAGAGCAAUAGUGAGCCCAAGAGCCCCUCAACCCACUAACAAGACAGGUCAAGGUAUAGCCUACGAAGUGGAAGAAAUGGGCUACAUUUUCUAAAAUAGAACAAACCCAACGGAAAGGGGCAUGAAACCUGCCCCUAGAAGGAGGAUUUAGCAGUAAGGGGGGACAAUCAAGCCCCCCUUAAGCCGGUCCUAGGGCACGUACACACCGCCCGUCACCCUCUUCACAAGCCCAACCAACACACUAACUAAUGUAACACAACAGCUAAAGACGAGGUAAGUCGUAACAAGGUAAGUGUACCG
rnacentral:ncRNA from 1 species